GAUGAACGCUGGCGGCGUGCCUAAUACAUGCAAGUCGAGCGAACAGACGAGGAGCUUGCUCCUUUGACGUUAGCGGCGGACGGGUGAGUAACACGUGGGUAACCUACCUAUAAGACUGGGAUAACUUCGGGAAACCGGAGCUAAUACCGGAUAAUAUUUCGAACCGCAUGGUUCGAUAGUGAAAGAUGGCUUUGCUAUCACUUAUAGAUGGACCUGCGCCGUAUUAGCUAGUUGGUAAGGUAACGGCUUACCAAGGCAACGAUACGUAGCCGACCUGAGAGGGUGAUCGGCCAGAUUGGAACUGAGACACGGUCCAGACUCCUACGGGGGGCAGCGGUAGGGAAUCUUCCGCAAUGGGCGAGAGCCUGACGGAGCAACGCCGCGUGAGUGAUGAAGGUCUUCGGAUCGUAAAACUCUGUUAUUAGGGAAGAACAAACGUGUAAGUAACUGUGCACGUCUUGACGGUACCUAAUCAGAAAGCCACGGCUAACUACGUG
rnacentral:rRNA from 1 species